UACAGAGGGUGCGAGCGUUGUCCGGAGUCACUGGGCGUAAAGGGCGCGUAGGUGGCGCGACAAGUCAGUGGUGAAAGUUCGACGCUCAACGUCGAAUCGGCCACUGAUACUGUUGGGCUUGAGCACUGUAGAGGCUAAUGGAAUUCCGGGUGUAGCGGUGGAAUGCGUAGAGAUCCGGAAGAACACCGGUGGCGAAGGCGGUUAGCUGGGCAGUUGCUGACACUGAGGCGCGACAGCGUGGGGAGCAAACAGG
rnacentral:rRNA from 1 species